UUCAAAGUGUGAUUAGAGCUGGGCUUGGUGGCUUGCAUCUACAGUUCCAGCUACCCAGGAGGCAGAAGCAGGAGGAUUGCUUGAGCCUAGGAGUUCGAGGCUGCAGUGAGCUAUGAUCCUGCCACUGAAUUCUAGCCUGGGCGACAAAACAGGAAAAAAGUAUGGAUGGAGGACCAGCAGCAUCUGUAUCACCUGUUUGGAAUUUCAGCUGGGCAGCUUCGAUCCCACCACCUGUAGCCACUGAGGUUCACAGGCUCUGUUUGAGGUGAAAUAAACAGCGUUGUUGCUCACACAAAGCCUGUUUGGUAGUCUCUUCACAUGGACGCGUGUGACAUUUGGUGCUGAAGACCCGGGACAGGAGGACUCCUUCAGGAGACGGGUCCCCUGUCCUUGCCCUCACUCCGUGAGGAGAUCCACCUACGACCUCGGGUCCUCAGACCAACCAGCCCAAGGAACAUCUCAUGAAUUUCAAAUCGGAUUCCCAACUAUAUGAAGACACCCUAGCUGGACGAUCAGUUCUUAUUAAGAACCUGACCCCUCAAACUCUACAACCUCGAUGGACUGGACCCUACUUAGUCAUCUAUAGUACCCCAACUGCCGUCCGCCUGCAGGAUCCUCCCCACUGGGUUCACCGUUCCAGAAUAAAGCUGUGCCCAUCGG
rnacentral:lncRNA from 10 species